CGACAUCGAAAGCUUGCUUUUGAUGGGCGUCGACCGGCGCACGGGUGAGUAACGCGUAUCCAACCUGCCCACCACUUGGGGAUAACCUUGCGAAAGUAAGACUAAUACCCAAUGAUAUCUCUAGAAGACAUCUGAAAGAGAUUAAAGAUUUAUCGGUGAUGGAUGGGGAUGCGUCUGAUUAGCUUGUUGGCGGGGUAACGGCCCACCAAGGCUACGAUCAGUAGGGGUUCUGAGAGGAAGGUCCCCCACAUUGGAACUGAGACACGGUCCAAACUCCUACGGGAGGCAGCAGUGAGGAAUAUUGGUCAAUGGACGAGAGUCUGAACCAGCCAAGUAGCGUGCAGGAUGACGGCCCUAUGGGUUGUAAACUGCUUUUAUAAGGGAAUAAAGUGAGUCUCGUGAGACUUUUUGCAUGUACCUUAUGAAUAAGGACCGGCUAAUUCCGUGCCAGCAGCCGCGGUAAUACGGAAGGUCCGGGCGUUAUCCGGAUUUAUUGGGUUUAAAGGGGAGCGUAGGCCGGAGAUUAAGCGUGUUGUGAAAUGUAGAUGCUCAACAUCUGCACUGCAGCGCGAACUGGUUUCCUUGAGUACGCACAAAGUGGGCGGAAUUCGUGGUGUAGCGGUGAAAUGCUUAGAUAUCACGAAGAACUCCGAUUGCGAAGGCAGCUCACUGGAGCGCAACUGACGCUGAAGCUCGAAAGUGCGGGUAUCGAACAGGAUUAGAUACCCUGGUAGUCCGCACGGUAAACGAUGGAUGCCCGCUGUUGGUCUGAAUAGGUCAGCGGCC
rnacentral:rRNA from 1 species